rnacentral:lncRNA from 1 species
UCUAAAGCACCAUGAGUCACAGCUGGAUAUUUUUAAUUUCUCCUUACUUCAGUUUUAAUUGUCCUGUUUUGUUUCCUGGCAGGGUUUGUGGGGUGGUGGUUGUUGACUUGAGGUGGAUCAUUCACCUGAAAUAUUCUUUCCUUUGUUUUUUUUAAACCCAAACCAAACAUUUGUAUUUUUUUUAUACAACUCCUGAUGUGCCUGCUGGGUGUGUGGAGCCUUUUUUGGGUAGGAGCAAGAGGCCCAGCCUGUGCUGGGUGAGGUGACAGGCCUGAGCUGCCUCAUUUACAAUCAACUUUCCCUGAUUAAUUAGCUCUCAGAGCUGUUUGGAUAACCUGGCCCAAUUGCAGCUGCAAUUACAAGCCCUGACUCAUUUGCUUCCCCUCAGGAUUUUGAAUCCAGACAGCUCUGCCGAAAGCAGCGUGCAAUUAAAACACACCAAAAACAAUCUAAAAAAUACAAUUAACCGUGCCAAGCGUUGCCUGGGAGUUUUGACAUCAUUUUCUCCUCUUUCCAGGAAAGUCUGUGAGAUCAAGAAGCACCUGAAGAGGCUCAGCAACCGCAUCAGUGCCUGCAGUGUGGAGAUGAUGGAGUGCCAGGACUGCCUGCAGGGCGCUCUGGACAGGCUUCUCCAGGUGGAGCAGUGGAAUUUGGCCCCUCCUGUGCCUUCCCCUGUGCCCCUGAGCCAGGCCUGCCAGGAGAUGGCUCUGAGGUGAGUCCUGGUUGGGGUGGUCCCUUUGUGUGAGGGGAAACUGAGAGUUAAAACCUUUUAUUCCAUUUUCAGUCUCUGAGAAGGGUGAGAGCACAGGUGUUGUAAUUCACACCAGCACAAUCAGAAGCUGUUUCCUGAUUACAGAACACUCCAAGCAUUUCUUAGCUUAUUCACUUUUUGUCACCCCAUGCUGCAAAUGCCUUCAAACCAACCAUCCCAAACUGCCCCUCAUGGUCCCACUGUAACACAUCUUCCACAGUUCUGUUUCCCCAAAGUGUUCAGUCUGAUUUGCCAGGCCAGCUUUUGAAACUUUUCUAGCUCCAUUUCUCUCUCAACAACAUCUCCUUAUUCCACAACCCUGCUGAAUCAGUAUUUAUUAUCUCAAAGUUUGCACACAGUGUGGGCCUUGGGUCCGACCCUAAGAGCUCCCACAAAUCCAUUUCCCACUCUUGGGAACAGGGUCUGGGGACAGCCCAGCUCCUCAGGGGGGGACAGAACCUCCUGCUGCUCAUCCUGGGAGUGGGGUGAGGGUUCUGUGUCUGCAGGGCUGGAAAGGGGGGACCCAGAGGGGGGACCCUGCUGUGUGUGACC